rnacentral:rRNA from 1 species
UACGUAGGGUGCAAGCGUUUAAUCGGAAUUACUGGGCGUAAAGCGUGCGCAGGCGGUGAUGUAAGACAGGUGUGAAAUCCCCGGGCUUAACCUGGGAAUGGCAUUUGUGACUGCACGGCUAGAGUGUGUCAGAGGGGGGUAGAAUUCCACGUGUAGCAGUGAAAUGCGUAGAUAUGUGGAGGAAUACCGAUGGCGAAGGCAGCCCCCUGGGAUAACACUGACGCUCAUGCACGAAAGCGUGGGGAGCAAACAGG